ensembl:rRNA 5S_rRNA 5S ribosomal RNA
GCUUACGCCCAUACCACCCUGAGAACGCCCGAUCUCGUCUGAUCUUGGAAACUAAGCAGGGUCGGGCCUGGUUAGUACUUGGAUGGGAGACCGCCUGGGAAUACCAGGUGCUGUAAGCU